rnacentral:lncRNA from 1 species
AGCAGCGUAGCUGAACAUCUUACGGAUGGCCCAGGGCUCCAAAGGCUCGUUUCCUAAGUGAGAGAGAGCCUGGCUGAAGCUGUAUUACCAUUCAUUCUCCAGCCUCCGAAGUCUCAAAGCAUCACUUCCACCAUACUCUAACUGUCAAGACAAACACAAAGGCCCAGGAAACUGCCAGACUGUCUUCUGAAGUGGCUAUAAUAUUUACACUCCCAUCAGCAGUGUGAGAAGGGGUCUCACUAUGUUGUCUGGAGUGCUGUGGUGGAGUGGAGUGGCUAUUCACAGGAGCCUGUUCUGCUGGGACACAGAAUCACUUGCUCCAUCUCAUACAUUGAUGAUGAUUAAUUUGUAUGUGUACCUUCCAAAAAAGAUGGUUGUGUUUGAAUGGAGGCCUUCUGGACAGGAAAAUGAUGGAGAGUGCGUGCUUUGGAUUCAAGACUGGGAAUGAGGGGACCAGAAACCUAUUCUGUGGCUGUUUCUUGUUAGGACUUUCCUAAGCCUCUGGAAAAGGUGCAAAGUACAAUUAACAUUUGAGUCUGUCUGAGUCAUGAAGAAAUGGAGAUUACUGAAAAUAAUUCAUUUUGGUAUCUUCUUACAUCCUGAGAGACUAAUCUUUCCAAGUUCAUCUGAGGCUCCUCUUCUCCAUGACAACCUCAUCCAGGGAUUUCUUCCUGUCCUGGUGUUUUAUGACAUGGUGGAAGGGGACUGUAGCAGGUGAUCUCCAAAGUCUCUGGAGACUUACUAAUGUGGCAUCCUCAUCUCGCUUGUAAGGAUAAUAGCCUUCCUCCAAACCUCACACACUUUUGGAGGAGAUCACUUUUUUUAAAGUGCAUGGAAAUGUUUUGAAACAGUGAAAUCUAUAAUGAUAGGUUUCAUAAUUCUAACAUCCACACCAUAUGGAAUCACAUCCUUCCUGAGAUAAUGAGCACACAAUUGCCUGGAUACCUGAAGGAAUGGAGACAGCGGCAGAAAACACUGCAGAGAGGUGGAAACAUCCGUUAAUAUUUUAAAAUCCCAUUACUGCUACCAACAAUAAUAAUGGAUGCAUAGAAAUAGAUCUGGAUUAGCUGAGCUUGAAACAGUCCAUCUCACACACACACAAAAGAAUUUCAGGAUACAGUGAACCCACAUGUUGAAGCUUUCUAGUAUAAUAAAAAUUUCAACUGUUCUGUUGAAUCAUCUGCCUGAUUGGAGGCUACAGAAAAGAUGUCAUCUUAGGGAGUGCUUGCUCUGAGUGAGGCUCAUCUUCAAAUCUGAAUGACCACAAGGAGAUUUGAUUAUACAUGUGAACACCUCAGAAGGCACAGCCCACCCAGAAGGCAGACAGGUCAGGCUGCUUUUUCUUCAUUGCUUGGAUUCAAUCCUCCGGGCGGCUCAGGCUCAAACAUAACUUAAGCAUGAUUAAACUUUAGAAGAAGCUGCCAGGAAGACUGUGAAAUCUUCAUGCCCAAGGAUCCCUAAAAUUAGGAGCAACAACCACUUGGCUCAGACGGUUUAUGGAGGCAAAGGUUUGGAUGGGAUUAGAGAUUUCUAAAUGUGAGUUCGUGUCCUCUGCCAGACCACCUUACUUCCACCAUUCCUCAGCAAAUCAAGAAAAACAGGAGAAAAGACAUGCCUUUCCAUAAGUUAAAUCUAUUCUGUUUUAAUUCUAUAUUAUAUCUGCUGUACAACUUCUUUUGUUUGUAACACCAUAUUGUUGCUAGUAACUGGAAAUUAAUUUUCACAUGCCUCAGCUUAGAAAAAUAAAAAGCAGCCCUGCAUCAAUCCCAAU